CUGCGCGUCAGAGCCAUUCCUGGACAAACCGCUUCACAGCUAAAGAUGUCGGACAAGAAGCAGACCGUCGACCUGGGCUUACUGGAGGAGGAUGAUGAGUUUGAAGAAUUCCCAGCCGAGGAUUGGACGGGGCUGGAUGAAGAUGAAGAUGCUCAUGUUUGGGAAGACAACUGGGAUGAUGACAACGUGGAGGAUGAUUUCUCAAACCAGCUGAGAGCGGAGCUGGAAAAACAUGGCUACAAGAUGGAGACCUCAUAACAGCUGACAAGGCCCUCUCAGCACUGGAUGACAUUGAAUAUGGACAUUUAUAUUUGAAUAUCACAAGUUGACCACACAACCGGAAGAUUUGUGAGAUGUUAAUUUGUUUCUUUUUUUUGUAAGAAAUAUUGAUGGAAGUAAAGUAUUUGGAGAAAACAG